GAUGAACGCUGGCGGCGUGCCUAAUACAUGCAAGUCGAGCGAACGGACGAGAAGCUUGCUUCUCUGAUGUUAGCGGCGGACGGGUGAGUAACACGUGGAUAACCUACCUAUAAGACUGGGUUAACUUCGGGAAACCGGAGCUAAUACCGGAUAAUUUUUUGAACCGCAUGGUUCAAAAGUUAAAGACGGUCUUGCUGUCACUUAUAGAUGGAUCCGCGCUGCAUUAGUUAGUUGGUAAGGUAACGGCUUACCAAGGCAACGAUGCAUAGCCGACCUGAGAGGGUGAACGGCCACACUGGAGCUGAGCCACGGUCCAGACUCCUACGGGAGGCAGCGGUAGGGAAGCUUCCGAGAUGGGCGAAAGCCUGACGGAGCAACGCAGCGUGGAUGAUGAAGGGCUUCGGAUCGGAAAACUCUGUUAUUAGGGAAGAACAUAUGUAUAAGUAACUGUGCACAUCGUGACGGUACCUAAUCAGAAAGCAACGGCUAACUACGUG
rnacentral:rRNA from 1 species